UACGAAGGGAGCUAGCGUUGUUCGGAAUCACUGGGCGUAAAGCGCACGUAGGCGGAUGUGUCAGUCAGGGGUGAAAUCCCAGAGCUCAACUUCGGAACUGCCUUUGAUACAGCACGUCUUGAGUCCGGAAGAGGUGGGUGGAAUUCCUAGUGUAGAGGUGAAAUUCGUAGAUAUUAGGAAGAACACCGGUGGCGAAGGCGGCCCACUGGUCCGGUACUGACGCUGAGGUGCGAAAGCGUGGGGAGCAAACAGG
rnacentral:rRNA from 1 species